CUUCUAAGGAGACAUGAAUAGUCCUCAUGUUUCUGCCUUCUGCAUCGCUGGCUGUGAGGAAGAGGAUUAGUACCAAGGAAAACGAAGUCACGCGUCAGAGUCUACUGCCCUCAUGCGAUGGAAAGCGAGCGAGAGCGUCGAGACUCUGAGCAUUGUUGAUGCCACGCAAAAGCUGUCCAUCUGGGAGCCGAGGAGACGCCGCUGUCAGUGAGAUAAGUGUCUGGUUUGGUGAGGGCUCUGCUCACGCCCACUAAGUUAGGGCUGGGUUUGUAUGAAAAGGUUCCUGACUAGCUGUCGUUACGAGGGGGAAAAGGUCCCUAUUUUCAGAGGUUGCUCAUUUCUCUGGUCAGGAACGGUGUCUCCUCCGCAGCGCCAGGUUGGAUUCAGGAGGAUGACUCACGGUGGUGAGUUGCUUGCCUCCCUCCCAUGUCUCUCUCUCUCUCUUCUCUAGUGUGUUGGCCAACUUUCUCACUGUCUCGCCUCUCCUCUCCUCUCCUUGUGCCAUCUCCCUUCGUAGGACACGGGCAGGCGUGCUAGGUGUGCAUCCCCAGAGGCCAGAUCUCUGGAGUCGCGGACGAAAAUCAUGCGGGGCAGUGGGUGCGAGAGUGGAGCGGUGACUGUCGGUGUUAACUUGGUCUCUGUUCAUUGAGCGGGGCCGAUGUAGAUGGGACUGGAGAGGGUGCCAGGGCUGAGGGCAAGAUUUCCAGCCCCAAUAGAACUCUGUGUAAUGAUGGUUCUUGCUUGGCUUUAUUAGUUUGCGGAGGAAUCGUCCAGGAGCCCUAGCCGCACAAGAAUAUGGCGGAAGUGGACCUGAGCAGCCUGGACAUCCUUCUAAGGAGACAUGAAUAGUCCUCAUGUUUCUGCCUUCUGCAUCGCUGGCUAUGAGUAAGAGUACCAAGGGAAAUGAAGUCACGCGUCAGAGUCUACCGCCCUCAUGCGAUGGAAAGCGAGUGAGAGUGUCGAGACUCUGAGCAUUGUUGAUGCCACGCAAAAGCCGUCCAUCUGGGAGCCGAGGAGACGCUGCUGUCAGUGAGAUAAGUGUUUGGUUUCAUGAGGGCUCUGCUCACGCCCAACCUGAGUCCAG